rnacentral:rRNA from 1 species
UAUUGGACAAUGGGGGGAACCCUGAUCCAGCGACGCCGCGUGAGUGAAGAAGUAUCUCGGUGUGUACAGCUCUCUCAGCAGGGAAGAAGAAAUGACGGUACCUGAUUAAGAAGCCCCGGCUCACUACGUGCCAGCAGCCGCGGUAAUACGUAGGGGGCAAGCGUUAUCCGGAAUUACUGGGUGUAAAGGGAGCGUAGACGGUGAUGUAAGUCUGGAGUGAAAGGCGGGGGCCCAACCCCCGGACUGCUCUGGAAACUAUGUGACUGGAGUGCAGGAGAGGUGAGCGGAAUUCCUAGUGUAGCGGUGAAAUGCGUAGAUAUUAGGAGGAACACCAGUGGCGAAGGCGGCUCACUGGGCUGUAACUGACGUUGAGGCUCGAAGGCGUGGGGAGCAAACAGG